GGAAGUCUUGACUUCGACCACGGUUGCAUUGCUGUAAAUGGACACUGAGGACGUCGGAUUGAACAUACAUCGGGGUUUUCUGGUUCACUGCACGGAUAGCGCUGCUGCAAUCAGUUUGGUAUUUUACAGUCUUCCAUUACUGGGCCUUAGAUAAUUACAACUAUCUGGACUCUCGAAGAGGACGUUGUUCCAACAUACUCUCGGGUUGAGUUAGACGAUAACAGACAACAUGAUUCUUAGUGAAUAGGGUGUUGAACGUUUUAUUGACUUUAAUAGAUCAGGUAAAAUCUUAUCCAGGAUCUUUCGAAACUAAGAUUAGCCCACAUCAGACACUUAUUUGUCACCACUUAAGUUUUGAUAUUGAUAAUGACAUCUGAUCGCUCUGAUCUAGCUGUUUUUUAUCUGAAUUCUGCAACAAAGAAAGUAACUGUAGUGUAGGCUAGCUACAGAUGUACUGUCACUUUUUUAUUUGAAUAAACGCUGAAGAAAGAAUAGCUUCCACUAUGGAUCGGAUGGUCCUGAGGAGGGGGUCAUGUUGCCCCCCUUCAUAUCUUUACCAAGUACAGGCAGGAACCAAGGAUUAUUUAUGACACUAAGACAAGAUGAACAUGUUCAAGGCUGCUCUUCACAUGAUAACAUUUUCCAUCCAGGAUGUAGAGGCAUUAUGUGGAUGGAAUAUUUACUAUAUCUGUAGAAUACGUAGGAUUGAAAUAUAUAAAUAAAUAAAUAAAUAUAUAAAUAGUUGAAUAGCAUGGCCUUGAUUAGAAUACAGUAUAUACAUAUGAAGUGGGUAACAGUAUGUAAACAUUAUUCAAGUGACCAGUGUUCCAUGUUUAUGUACAUAGGGUAGCACAACCGGGUGGUAGUCAGCUAGUGACAAAGUUCAGGGCAGAGUACUGGGUGGACACCGGCUAGUGAUGGCUUUUGUCAUGAUGUUGCCCUCUUUGUGUACAGCAAGCCCCAUCCCCCUGACUGCCGCCUUCAACUAGGCUGCUGCGGUCAGAGAAGUCGUAAAUUCCUCGAAGAUAUGAUCUCCUCAUGGCCACAGUAUAGAGAGAGAGAGUGAAUUUUCAUAGAGAACAAAGGAAUUUCUUCCACCUCACAGAACUUGAGGUCCGAACAACAUUUAUGUUCCGGAGAAUGUAUAAAAGAUCGGUGAAGAAUCCAGCUACGAACUGGUCCGUUUGUUACAUUUUGGUGAAGCUCAUGGGAGACUGUGCGGCCACAUUACCAUAACACUGUUUAUAUAAUAGUCUCAGAUAUGAGGUUUACAUCUAAUUGUUGUAUAAGAUGAGUGAGGAUGAUACUGUUUGUAAAAUUGUGUAAUGUGAUUUUGUACUUUUUAUUGAAGGAAACUCCAAUUCCCUUUGGAGUUUAACUAAAUCAGAGGACCGCCCAUGAGUCCAGUUAGGGUCGGGCAUCCUGGGACAGCCCUUUUCUGCAAUUCCGAAUAAAACCCCAACUUCGAGAAAUUCUCAGUGGACCAUGUUUUUCUCAAUCACGAGAGGACAAAAAGGUUGCAGACAGGGAGAGGGGGAGGGGCUUGCUGUUCCCAAAGAGGGCAACGUCAUGACAGUUGGAUUUGUCAACGGCCAUUCCAGUGGUGUGGAGCUUGGGGUGGGUGAGGGGCUAAUGCCCUCCAAACCCUGAUUAUAUAAAUGUAUAGGAUAACAUAACUCUGUAGCGCUUUAGGCUAGAAACAAACUGUAAAAGGCAACAGAAAGCAGUGGCUCUAUUGUACAUGGGGAUAACUCUAUAAAUUGACAUUCAUUUAAUUCAGGGUGGAAGGUACAACCAAAGAAUUGAUGGAUUUAGCUCUAAAUACUACAUCAUAAUGAGCAGCAGUAGUUCAGGUGUUUUGCUUUUUUCUCUGGUUAUUACGACAAAUCACGGUUUCGCAGGUGUUGGCGUUUGCCAACAUUUUGGAAAGGGGAGGGGACAUUCGGCCCAUAUCUUGAGAGGGUGGAGCUCUUCCUUCUAGCAUCUGUUAAGCUCUCAUCCUAACACGUGUUACAUGAGACAUUAGUUCUGGGUUAACCAAGAUUGGCUCAGGGGUGAAAAACUUGUUCAACUCCAAUGAAUACUCAAAGGUUCGGAACAUAAGACAGGAGGCAUUACAAUGGUACUACUUCCAUUUAGAAAAAUUAGAAGUGUUAUACGUUUUUACAUUUGUAAAAAAAAAUCUACCACUAACAUUUGAAAAAUUUGCUGAAGUGAUUGAAGUGUAAAGUAGUGAACGAUUACACACUUCAGGAGAAAGAAGGUAUUAUAAGGAUGCACCAAUCAGAGAUUUAGACUAAAGUAAUCAAAUGUUUGGUCUAAUGAUAUUCUAUGUACAAUACUUUCUGUGGUCACCAGGACAGAGCUAGUCCGUCCCCCUCCAACCUGCCGGAGACCCCUGGUCACAACUCUCCUGGUAGCGCCUUACUGCUGGGUCUGAAGAGGGUUUCUGUGCGGCUGGUCGACUGCAGGAAAACACCAGGGCAGAGUGGAACUGUGAGAGAAGGACACAAGGAGGGAGAUUUGAUAUCAUCAAGGGACACCCCUAACUCUCGUUCUCUCAGUGGGAGGGGCUUAUCAUCUGGGGAGCCUCAGCCACAUGAUGUUGCUGAAGAGACAGAGAAGAGUCUCUCCCAAUCAGAACAUCUAAAGAAACAUCAGCAGAGGCGUACAGGGAAGAAACUUCACCAUUGCUGCUCUGACUGUGGGAAGAAUUUCACAAGCCGAAGUGGCUUCAUUAUUCACCAGCGGAUUCACACCGGAAAGAAACCGUACUGCUGCUCUCAGUGUGGGAAGAGUUUCACUGCUUCUCAAACCUUAAAAUAUCAUCUGAGAAUUCAUUCAGGGGAGAGGCCUUACCCCUGCCUAGAUUGUGGGAAAAGCUUUGCUUAUUUGGGCGCCCUAAACAUACACAAGCUAACACACACUGGAGUGAAGCCUUAUAGCUGUGAUCAAUGUGGGAAGAGCUUCAGUCAGUCUGGCCACCUGACAACACACCAACUAACACACACUGGAGUGAAGCAUUUUAGCUGUGAUCAGUGUGGGAAGAGCUUUGCUCUAACUUCCUCCUUGACUAGACAUCAGCGUACACACACAGGAGAGAAACCUUAUGUCUGUCUAUGUGGGAAGAGCUUUGCUGUAGCUUCCAAUCUGACUACACACCAGCGAACACACACCAGAGAUAAGCCUUAUAGUUGUUAUCAGUGUGGAAAGAGCUUUGCUUCUUCAGAAACACUAACUAUACACCAGCGCAUACACACAACAAAGAAACCUUUUUGCUGUUGUCAGUGUGGGAAGAGCUUUGCUGUAGCUUUCUCCCUGAUUAUACACCAGCGAACACACACUGGCGAGAAGCCUUACAGCUGUGAUCAUUGUGGCAAGAGAUUCAGUCAGUCAAUCAGGGAACCUAAAUUCUCACCAGCAAACACACACUGGAGAAAAAUCUUAGAUAGAUGUGGGGAAAGCUUUGUUCAUUUAGGGCCUAUGUGGAAAAACACCAGAAAACAAAAGAUGUUUUGCAUUUAAUUUGCCUCUUAUUCGACACCGGUUCCAGAUAACUAAAUAAAAGGAUCAAUAGAAAACGUCUAGUGAACAGUCAUAUCCGUCUCUUUCUUAAAAGAGUUGAUUUAGUCUGAUCACCAUGGUAACCUGUUUGGAACAUACAGUUGAAGUCGGAAGUAUACAUGCACCGAAGCCAAAAACAUUUAAACUCAGUUGUUCACAAUUACUGACAUUUAAUCCUAGUAAAAAAAAAUCCCUGUCUCAGGUCAGUUAGGAUCACCACUUUAUUUUAAGAAUAUGAAAUGUCAGAAUAGUAGAAUGAUUUAUUUCAUCUUUUAUUUCUUUCAUCACAUUCCCAGUGGGUCAGAAGUUUACAUACCCUCAAUUAGUAUUUGGUAGCAUUGCCUUUAAAUUGUUUAACUUGGGUCAACCGUUUUGGGUAGCCUUCCACAAUAAGUUGAGGAAUGGGCCAAAAUUCACCUGACAGAGCUGGUGUAACCGAGUCAGGUUUGUAGGCUCUUGCUCGCACACGCUUUUUCAGUUCUGCCCACAAAAUGUUCUAUAGGAUUGAGGUCAGGGCUUUGUGAUGGCCACUCCAAUACCUUGACUUUGUUGUCCUUAAGCCAUUUUGCCACAACUUUGGAAGUAUGCUUGGGGUCAUUGUCCAUUUGGAAGACCCAUUUGCGACCAAGCUUUAACUUCCUGACUGAUGUCUUGAGAUGUUGCUUCAAUGUAUCCACAUAAUUUCCCAUCCUCAUGAUGCCAUAUAUUUUGUGAAGUGCACCAGUCCCUCCUGCAGAAAGCACCUCCACAACAUGUUGCCACCCCAGUGCUUCACGGUUGGGAUGGUGUACUUCAGCUUGCAAGCCUCCUGUCACGUUCUGACCCUAGUUAUUGUGUUAAUUGUUUGUUUUAGUUGGUCAGGACGUGAGUUGGGUGGGCAUUCUAUGUUGUGUGUGUGUCUAGGUUGUUUUUCUGUGUUCGGCCCAGUAUGGUUCGCAAUCAGAGGCAGGUGUUAGUUGUGUCUGAUUGAGAAUCAUACUUGCGUAGCCUGGGUUUCACUGUUGUUUUGUGGGUGAUUGUUUCCGUGUCUGUUUGUUUCACCACACAGGACUGUUUCGGUUUUCACAUUUAUUGUUGUAUUUUUGUAGUGUUCUCGGUUUUCGUCUAUAUUAAAAGAUGUUUAACACUAA